AGACCAGAAGGGCAGUGCCAGCAAGAGAUCACCCCGGGGUAAAAGAGUGAGCAAGGGCUGUGGUGGGUAAGAGCAGCCCAUGGGGAUGGACAGCGGCUACUCCUCCCCCACCUCACAGCCACACACAGGGACAGGGACACAGCAGGACAGUGAGACACUCCUGUUCUCACCUGCAUUCAUAUCCUGACAAGAGGGCCAAGCACUGCAGGACAGGUAAGUCACUCCCAUACUAUAAACCACCUUAGUCCUAAAGAACCCUGGAAGAUCCUGAAAAACACUGUGAUGCAAAUACAAGGUCUAACCUGGUUAGCAGAGCCCUGGCCCCAAUGCAGGUGCUGGCACUGUACCUACUGAUUGCAGCGGCACUUUCAACACACAGUUGUGGAAAAGUGGAGGCAGAUCAGCAACCUGGUGAGCAGGGCUACACAGGGGAGGGCAACACAGGGAAUCAGAGCACGUGGCUGCUCCUUUAUUCCUUCCCGUCUGCAUUGCAGAUGGGCAUCUGCACAAAGAUGGAACCAGAGCAGAACACAUGCAUAUCCUCAGCCCUCUGUCAGGUCUCCAUGCUGCCAUACAGAACAGAUAAGUCAGACACAAAUGCUAUUCUUUCUACAUCCUCCAAAACCCUGGAAGGUCCCCAAGAUCCUCCUGCCCUCAGGGGGGCAAAUAUUUUAUACAACUUUGCUGAGCCCUGGCCCCACUGCAGGUGCUGGCAACGGAUCUACUGAUUGCAGUGGCCCUUUCGACACACAGCCAUGGAAAUUGCUGACAGAUCAGCAACCCGGUGAGUAGGGCCACACAGGGGAGGGCAUCACAGGGGAGCAGGGCACGUGGCUGCUCCUUUAUUCCUUCCUGUCUGCCUUGCAGAUGGACAUUUGCACAAAGACAGAACCAGAGCAGGACAUACACCUAUCCUCAGCCCUCUAACUGGUUUCCGUGCCACCAUGCAGAUAAGUCUGAAACAAACGCUAUCCUUCCUCAAUUCUAAAUUACCUUGGAAGCUCCCCAGGAUCCCCAUGCCCUCACCUCAACAUUUUAUACCACUUUGCUGAGUCCUGGCCCUGUUGCAGGUGCUUGCAACGGACCUACUGAUUGCAAUGCCAACUGAUAAAUGAGGCCAUGGAAAUGGCUCAUAGAUCAGUAACCCGGUGAGCAGGGCUACAUAGGGGAGGACAGCACAGGGAAGCAGGGCACAUGGCUGCUCCUUUAUUCCUUCCCAUCUGCCUUGCAGAUAGGCAACUGCUCAAAGUUGGAACCAGAGCAGGACACUCGCCUAUCCUCAGCCCAAUAACUGUUUUCCCUGCCGCCAUACAGAAUAAAUGACAGACAUGAACAGUGCUAGCACCAGACCACCAUUUUCCAGUGGCACAUUCAACACAUGGCCAUGGAAAUUGCUGGCAGAUCAGUAAGCCGGUGAGCAGGGCCAUGCAGGGGAAGGUAGAAAUGGAAGCAGGGCACGUGGCUGCUCCUUUAUUCCUUCCUGCCUGCCUUGCAGAUGGACAUUCACACAAAGAUGGAACCGGAGCAGGACUCAUGCCUAUCCUCAGCCCUCUAGCUGGUUUCCAUGAUGCCAUACAAAUAAGUCAGACAUAAACACUAUCCUUCCUCGAUCCUAAGAGACGUUGGAAGUUCCCCAGGAUCCCCCUGCCCUCACCCCAACAUUUUUUACCACUAUGCUGAACUCUGACCCCACUGCAGGUGCUGGCACUGGACCCAUUGAUUGCAGUAGCCCUUUCAACACACGGGCAUGGAAAUUGUUGGCAGAUGAGCAACCCGGUGAGUAGGGCCACACAAGGGAGUGCUGCACAGGGAAGCAGGGCACGUGGCUGCUCCUUUAUUCCUUCCCAUCUGCAGUGCAGAUGGGAAUCCGCUCAAAGAUGGAACCAGAGCAGGACACACACCUAGCCACAGCACUCUCACUGCUCUUCAUGCUGCCAUAUAGAUAAGAUAAGUCAGACACAAACGCUAUACAUUCUAUAUUCUAAGAGACUCUGGAAGCUCCCCAACAACCCCCUCCCCUCACCCCAACAUUUUACACCACUUUUCUGAACCUUGGCUUCUCUGCAGUUGCUGGCCAUGGAACUAAUGAUGGCAGUGGCACUUUCAACACACAGCCAUUGUAAUGGCUGGCAGAUGAGGAAUUUGGUGAGCAGGGCCACACAUGGGAGGGCAGCACAGGGAGGCAGGGCACAUGGCUGCUCCUUUAUUCCUUCCCAUCUGCCUUGCAGAUGGGCAUUCGUACAAAGAUAUAGCCGGAGCAGGACACAUGCCUAUCCUCAGCCCACUUACUGGUCUCCAUGCUGCCAUACAGAACAAAUACGAUUGGCCCAAACAGUAUCCUUUCUAGAUCCUAAGGGAUCCAGGACGCUCCCCAAGAUCCCCCUGCCCUCACCCCAAAGUUUUAUACCACUUUGCUGAACUCUGGCCCCACUGCAGGUGCUGGCACCUGACAUAUGGAUUUCAGUGGCCCUUUCAACACAUGGCUGUGGAAGUUGCUGGCAGAUGAGACACCCGGUGAGUAGGGCCACGCAAGGGAGUGCUGCACAGAGAAGCAGGGCACGUGGCUGCUCCUUUCUUCCUUCCUGUCUGCCUUGCAGAUGGGCAUCCGAUCAAAGAUGGAACCAGAGCAGGACUCACGCCUAUCCUCAGCCCUCUAGCUGGUUUCCAUGCCUCCAUACAGAACAAAUACAUCAGACACAAACAGUAUUCUUUCUAGAUCCUAAAGGACACUGGAAGUUCCCCAAGAACCUCCUGCCCCCACCCCAACAUUUUUUACCAGUUUGCUGAGCUCUGACCACACUGCAGGUGCUAAUACUGGAUCUGCUGAUCGCAGUGGCACUUUCAGCACACAGCCAUGGAAACUGCUGGCAGAUGAGCCACCCGAUAGGCAUCCACUCAAACGUGCAACCAGAGCAAGAUGCAUGCUUAUCCUCAGCCCACUUAAUGGUCUCCAUGCUGCCAUACAGAACAAACAAGUCAGACACAAACAGUAUCCUUUCAUAUAUACUAAGGGACCUUGGAAGCUGCCCAAGAUCCCCCUGCCCUCACCCCAACAUUUUUUACCACUUUGCUGAACUCUGACCCUACUGCAGGUGCUGGCACCAGACCUAUUGAUUGCAGUGGCUCUUUCAACACAUGGCCAUGGAAAUUGCUAGCAGAUGAGCCACCCAGUGAGUAGGGCCAUGCAAGAGAGGGCAUCACAGGGAAGCAGGGCAUGUGGCUGCUCCUUUAUUCCUUCCUGCCUGCCUUGCAGAUGGGCAUCUGAUCAAAGAUGGAACCAGAUGUGGACACUCAUCUCUCCUCAGCCCUCUAGCUGCUCUCCAUGCUGCCAUACUGAUCAGAUAAGUCAGACACAAACAGGAAGCUCCCCAUGAUCCCCCUGCUCUCACUCCAACAUUUUAUACCACUUUGCUGAGCCCUGGCCCCAUUGCAGAUGCUGGCACUGAACCUACUGAUUGCAGUGGCACUUUCAACACACGGCCAUGGAAAUGGUUGGCAGACCAGUAACCCAAUGGACUUCUUGGCACUGACAGAACCAGGCCUCCCCAGCCACCACCAAGCAACCCAUGUCUGCUCCUGGACAAGGCACAAAGUGAAGCAUGAGGAGAGCACACGCCCCGCCAUGAAAUGCACUGUGGUCCUACAGGAUCUGAGGAUCUGCAUGGCAUGGACAGAGGCAGCUCCACAGCACCUUCCAGCUACAGACCCCUCCAUGGACGUACACACACACACACAGACAUGCUCUACCGACAUAAUCAGCUCACCUUAGAAUGGAGUCAGGACCUUGAAUAUGGCACUCAUCAGCAUCUGAAGAAACCAUAUGGACUGUCUACAAUUGAGCUUUAAAUAUAUGGAAGGAAUAAGAAGGUAAAAAAGGAUGGAUGGACCCAACCCAGAAAUAGCAGAGACACCAUAUCCAGAAGAGAAGGCAAGCCCUGUAACUGAGCAUGCUCCUGAUGCCAGAGAUGAAAGUUUAGAAGCGAUGAAGAUUGACAGCCUUCUUCUCUCAACCCCCAGAUGACCACCAAGAAGCUACAACAGAAA